AGCAGCCGCGGUAAUUCCAGCUCCAAUAGCGUAUAUUAAAGUUGCUGCAGUUAAAAAGCUCGUAGUUAAAUUUCGGGACUAAUAUGUCGGUCGUGCCUCGGUACGUACUGGUUUAUUGGUUUCUCCUUUCUGAAGAACCAUGAUGUCAUUUAUUUGGUGUCGUGGGGAAUCAGGACUGUUACUUUGAAAAAAUUAGAGUGUUUAAAGCAGGCUCACGCUUGAAUACAUUAGCAUGGAAUAAUGAAAUAGGACGUUUGAUUCUAUUUUGUUGGUUUCUAGGAUCGACGUAAUGAUUAAUAGGGAUAGUUGGGGGCAUUAGUAUUCAAUUGUCAGAGGUGAAAUUCUUGGAUUUAUUGAAGACUAACUACUGCGAAAGCAUUUGCCAAGGAUGUUUUCAUUAAUCAAGAACGAAAGUUAGGGGAUCGAAGACGAUCAGAUACCGUCGUAGUCUUAACCAUAAACUAUGCCGACUAGGGAUCGGAUGAUGUUAAUUUUUUAAUGACUCGUUCGGCGCCUUACG
rnacentral:misc_RNA from 1 species